CAGAUGGUGUCCCUAGGCAACAUUGACCUGUAUGUGCCGGAGAAUGUUUUCGUCACUGUCGUCACCAAGCUCAAGCUCAAGGGGAGGUACCCGAGAGACGACUGCUCGCAGAUUGUACAAGCCUUCCGUGUGCUGGACAGGAGAGGGUCAGGUAUGAUGAAUGUGGACGAGCUGUCGACCAUCAUGACCAAGGAAGGCGAAACGUUCAGUACACACGAGAUGGACUUGAUGACCCAAAUGGUCGUCCAGGACAAGAGCACAGAGUUCGACUACACGGCAUACGCCCAUCUGCUGUGUCACCACACACUGCCGGUGUGACAGUGGA